GACGAACGCUGGCGGCGUGCCUAAUACAUGCAAGUAGAACGCUGAAGGAGGAGCUUGCUCUUCUGGAUGAGUUGCGAACGGGUGAGUAACGCGUAGGUAACCUGCCUGGUAGCGGGGGAUAACUAUUGGAAACGAUAGCUAAUACCGCAUAACAGUAGAUGUUGCAUGACAUUUGCUUAAAAGGUGCAAUUGCAUCACUACCAGAUGGACCUGCGUUGUAUUAGCUAGUUGGUGGGGUAACGGCUCACCAAGGCAACGAUACAUAGCCGACCUGAGAGGGUGAUCGGCCACACUGGGACUGAGACACGGCCCAGACUCCUACGGGAGGCAGCAGUAGGGAAUCUUCGGCAAUGGGCGGAAGUCUGACCGAGCAACGCCGCGUGAGUGAAGAAGGUUUUCGGAUCGUAAAGCUCUGUUGUAAGAGAAGAACGAGUGUGAGAGUGGAAAGUUCACACUGUGACGGUAUCUUACCAGAAAGGGACGGCUAACUACGUG
rnacentral:rRNA from 1 species